GGUGGCACCCCGAAUGGAAUAAUUUGGAAUCCGGUGCAAAUCCGGGACAGUACCUGCUGCUGUAAAUCCCUAAUUAUAAGUCCGAUGCACUCUCUGCCACUGGCCUGACAGGCUGGGAAGGCGUACCGGACGGGAUGAGUCAGAAGACCUGCCAAUGAUGAUG
rnacentral:ncRNA from 1 species